rnacentral:rRNA from 1 species
UACGUAGGGUGCGAGCGUUGCCCGGAUUUAUUGGGCGUAAAGCGCGCGCAGGCGGUUCUUUAAGUCCGAUGUGAAAGCCCACGGCUCAACCGUGGAGGGUCAUUGGAAACUGGGGAACUUGAGUACAGAAGAGGAAAGCGGAAUUCCACGUGUAGCGGUGAAAUGCGUAGAGAUGUGGAGGAACACCAGUGGCGAAGGCGGCUUUCUGGUCUGUAACUGACGCUGAGGCGCGAAAGCGUGGGGAGCAAACAGG